CCUACGGGAGGCAGCCGUGAGGAAUAUUGGUCAAUGGCCGGAAGGCUGAACCAGCCAAGCCGCGUGAAGGACGAAGGUGCCAAGCAUUGUAAACUUCUUUUGUCAAGGGACAAAAUCAGGCUCGAGAGCCUGACCGAGGGUACUUGAAGAAAAAGCAUCGGCUAACUCCGUGCCAGCCGCCGCGGUAAUACGGAGGAUGCGAUGUUUAUCGGGAUUUAUUGGGGUUAAAGGGUGCGCAGGGGGACUGUUAGGUCAGCGGUAAAAGCCCGGGGCUAAACCCCGGCGAGCCGUUGAAACUGGCUGUCUUGAGAUGUCGAGAGGUAUGCGGAAUGCGCAGUGUAGCGGUGAAAUGCUUAGAUAUUGCGAAGAACUCCGAUUGCGAAGGCAGCAUACCGGCGGCGAUCUGACGCUGAGGCACGAAAGCGUGGGUAUCGAACAGGAUUAGAUACCCUUGUAGUC
rnacentral:rRNA from 1 species